rnacentral:rRNA from 1 species
UACGAAGGGGGCUAGCGUUGCUCGGAAUCACUGGGCGGAAAGCGCACGUAGGCGGCCUGUUAAGUCGAACGUGAAAUCCCCGGGCUCAACCCGGGAACUGCGUCCGAUACUGGCAGGCUUGAAUCCGGGAGAGGGACGUGGAAUUCCAGGUGUAGCGGUGAAAUGCGUAGAUAUCUGGAGGAACACCGGUGGCGAAGGCGGCAUCCUGGACCGGUAUUGACGCUGAGGCGCGAAAGCCAGGGGAGCAAACGGG